AGCAGAGGGCGCAGCGUUGCCAGCUGGGUGUGAUGGCAGCGGCGUGUUCUGAACACGGCAGCCCAGGCCGAGGCUUGAAAGUCCCCUAGCUGGUUACAAAUGCUCCAGUCCUGAGUCAAUCCUAGAAGAUAAACUUCUUUGAGGUAAAGGUCAUAAUACACUGAGAGUUUUGCUGUGAUAAAAAAUAAUAGAAAGUCCUCAACCACCUUUCUGUGAUAUUUAGCUCAUUCCCUUGCUGACUGACUCUGGCAGAGGGGUGGGGGAUGUCAGUGGGAGAAUCCACGUGUCUUCCAUCUUGCCCACUCCCUAGGGAAGCGGUGGAGCGCUUUUUCUCCAUCAUAGCUCAUGAUUCUCAGCUCUGGCUGCACCUUAGAACCACCUGGGGGUCUUUUACCAUCGACCCGUGCAUGGGACCCACCACUCAAGCAUCUCUGAGGGGCGUGGACCACAUACUGUAAUUUUUAUAAGCUCCUCAGGUGAUGGUGAAGCACAGAGGGUAUUAUGCUCUGGAAUUUCACACUUGGAAAUAAAGAACUGGCCCAGGUGUCCAAUUGAACUUUAGACCGUUUUGCUCUUUGCAAUCCCGAGCAGUGGGUCUUGAGACCCCCCAUCUAUCUAGAAGGAGCUGGGGACCACGUCUGGUGCAUUCUGUACAGAGCAGAGCACGUGCACGCGCACUGAGGAUGCGUCAGCGAGGUGGAAUUCAGACCUCACUCGGGCUCAGCUUUCAACCCAGCUGUAAACUCAGCGCAUCUGCCACUGGACCUACAACAGUUAAUUCUGUUAGGACACAGAGCUAAAUCCCCCAGGAGGCUUGGCCUGGAGAGGCCCCCUGAAUGGCCGCCUGCUUCAAGACCUCACCAGGAAGAAGUCCUCAACAGGAAGCAUCCUCAAUGACAGACCCCAACAGGAAGAGAUGUACAUCGCAUCCCCAACAAGAAAUCGACUGCCCUGGACACAGCCAAUGAGAAACCACCACAGCCCUGAACCGUCACUUUCCAACAGUGGAUUUUGUUCAAAACAACCACUCCCAACUUCCUCCUUUUUCUCUACAUAAUAACGUUCCUCUCCUUUGCUUGCUGGACUUGCCUGUGGCUUUUGCUAUAGCUGGCUUGUCCUCAAUUGCAAUUCCUUUGCUAUUCCUGAAUAAACCCAUUUUGUUGGUCAAGUUACUGGCCGUUUUACUUUCUUUAGGUCAAAAAGUGCCAAAUACUUAUUAUCUGACUCUUUACAGAAAUGCAAGAAAUCUGACCCCUGCUCUAGGUAGUCAAGUGUGCGUUGGUAAUGAAAGGUAAAACAUUUGUGGGCUGGCCCUGUGGCCAAGUAGUUAGUUUUGUAGCCCAGGUUCGCCGGUUCGGAUCCUGGGCGUGGACCUACUCCACUCAUCAGCCACACUGUGGAGGCAUCGCGCUUACAAAAUAGAGGAACAUUGGCAAUGGACGUUAGCUCAGGGAAAAUCUUCCUCAAGCAAAAAAGCAAACAAAAAAACCAUUUGGUAUCCCUGCUCUCAAGUCAGGCUAGACUUUGGAGAAUACCUCUUUGUGCUA
ensembl:lncRNA